rnacentral:misc_RNA from 1 species
CAACCCUCAAGCUCUGCUUGGUAUUGGGCGCCGUCCUCUCUGCGGACGCGCCUCGAAGACCUCGGCGGUGGCUGUUCAGCCCUCAAGCGUAGUAGAAUACACCUCGCUUUGGAGCGGUUGGCGUCGCCCGCCGGACGAACCUUCUGAACUUUUCUCAA